GAUGAACGCUAGCUACAGGCUUAACACAUGCAAGUCGAGGGGUAACGAGAGGAAAGCUUGCUUUCCUUGUCGACGACCGGCGCACGGGUGAGUAACGCGUAUCCAACCUGCCCCCAACUAGGGAAUAACCUUGCGAAAGUAAGACUAAUACCCUAUAAUUUCCUCAGAUGUCAUCUGACGAGGAAUAAAGAUUUAUUGGUUGUUGAUGGGGAUGCGUCUGAGUAGCUUGGUGGCGGGGUAACGGCCCACCAAGGCAACGAUCAGUAGGGGUCGUGAGAGGAAGGUCCCCCACAUUGGAACUGAGACACGGUCCAAACUCCUACGGGAGGCAGCAGUGAGGAAUAUUGGUCAAUGGGCGGAAGCCUGAACCAGCCAAGUAGCGUGCAGGAUGACGGCCCUAUGGGUUGUAAACUGCUUUUAUACAGGAAUAAAGUUAGCCACGUGUGGUUAUUUGUAGGUACUGUAUGAAUAAGGACCGGCUAAUUCCGUGCCAGCAGCCGCAGUAA
rnacentral:rRNA from 1 species